rnacentral:tRNA from 1 species
UGGGGAGUCGUCUAAUGGCAGGACUGCAGACUCUGGAUCUGUCUAUGGGGGUUCAAAUCCUCCCUCCCCAGCCA